CAAUAGCGUAUAUUAAAGUUGUUGCGGUAAAAAAGCUCGUAGCUGGAUUUCUACCGAAGAUAGCCGGUCGGGUCUUCGACCUUGUAUCUGGUUUUGUCUUUGGUAUCCUCAUAGGGAACGUUUCUGCGCUUUAUUGCGUGGUGCGGUAUCUAUGACUUUUACUUUGAGGAAAUUAGAGUGUUCACGGCAGGCAAACGCCUUGAAUAUAUUAGCAUGGAAUAAUAACAUAGGAUCUUCGUCCUAUUUUGUUGGUUUCUAGGGCUAGGAUAAUGAUUAAUAGGGAUAAUUGGGGGCAUCUGUAUCGACGCGUCAGAGGUGGAAUUCUUGGAUUGCGUUGCGACAAACUACUGCGAAAGCAUUUGCCAAGGAUGUUUUCAUUGA
rnacentral:rRNA from 1 species